rnacentral:lncRNA from 1 species
AUAAUAAUAAUAAUCAUGUUUCCAUAAAAUUGCUAAGUCCAGAGAUAAUACAUAAACAUAGUAGACUGUUCAUGACACAUAUCACGGUGGACAGUGUUUGUGUCCUUAUUACAAGCAACGAGAGAUGCUCGUCACCAACACGCGCGCGCACAGAUGCACGACAUACAUAUAGUAGAGACCAACAGAUGGUCGUCCCAUAUGGUGAACAAUUUAUUGGAGAUAAAUAUUAACGUAACUUGGCCAUAGCUUGAAGCAUAGCAACAUAUGCCUAUGAGUGGCAUUCAUGCUAUCGUUUUAGGCUUGUCCAGCUCCUUCCAUCUUAGCAAGCACUUCCAUUUCUACCAUCUUAGCAGCAACUGUCAAAUUGAGAUACGGAAAUCCCAUUAGCGCAUGAGUUAAUUUUGCAGUGGAAAUAGAGUACAAGAUGUCUUCAUGAUGUAAGUAAUAUGCCUGAAGUUGUGAGAUGGGAAGUGAAGUCAACAAAUUACAUUAACGGAAAUGCAUGGAAGGCCACACAUACGUAUUAGUCCAUGAUAUGCUACAAAGCUUGUAUGUACAUAUAGCAAAUUAAAUGCAUUAAUUGAAUAGAGUGUGUUUAGUGAAUUUACCAGAAUCGUCCAGAAAACAUGGGAAACAGCAAGUGUUCUUGCAGACUGCGUCGGAGGCACCCGCACGAAUACAAAGCUGACAACAUAGUUUUGCCUGGGCGGAUGCGCAGCAGCCGCACUCCGCCGCGGUGGGGUUAACAUUGAGGCUCAAGAUGACCAGGCACAUGAUCACCAUCAAAGUGGUAGUCCUCUUUCCCUCCAUUGCCUCCUCUUAGCUUGCUGCUACCUUCCUUGGUUACCUAGCUAAGUUUAUUGGUUUUGUGUUGAGAGGUGUGAUUCUUGAAUGGACGUUGCCGGCGGCAAUUUAUAGGCAGCUGAGCUAUGUGAUGAUAUGGACUAGGUGCAAAUGGGUGGUUAAUGGCAAGGAAAGGGGCGUCAGACAAAGCCCAAUGGCAACUGCUGACAUGCGAUUAAAUUCAGAUCCACAUCCGGCCAUUCAAUAAUACGGUUGGAGUUGUGGCACAGAUAUAUUAUUGCAUGAUCAUCAAGAUAAGAUCGUACAGUGACUGAGUGAGACAAUAAAUAGCCAAGUAAACUAUUUUAUCCUGCUGCAAGCUGCAUUCAUAAGUUUAUUUCACCUUUGAUCACAAUACUCUUCACACACGUACGUCUCAGGGAGAUCUCACUUCCGCUGGACUGCUCACUUCCGCUGUCGUCGGUACUGCCAAAGACAUAAGCUCACAUCUGCUAUUGCGGAGCAGGCCAAUUUGCUGCGGAACUUCGGCGACGACCUGAAGGACAUGAACUCGGUGCUGGAGUCCAUCUCAGCAGCGCUCUAGGACGCUGACACCGGUAGAAAAACGACCUUCCAUCGUCAACAAAAAUCCCGGUAGCUUUUUUACUCGGUACUAAAGAGGUUUUAAUCUCGUGCAAACACCUUUAGUCCGGAUUGCUGUUACCACGCAACCCGAACUAAAGCGUCCCCCACGAGUUACUAUAUAAGGAUUGCAUCCUUUACUCAGUCAGAUAUAAUGUGUAGGUGAGAUGGUAAGGAAGCUAUACGUGAGGCUUCAGGUUGUGGGUUCGAAUCCAAGGAGAAGUGGGUGCAGCUGUGGCUUAAGCGGCUGAGGCACGCCGCCAUAGACAUCUCAGAUUUGCUCGAAGACUACCAAGACACUAGUGAACCCUUAACAGUAAAGGUGAGUACUUAUGAAUGUCAGCAUCCAUGUUGUCCAUGCUUCCAAUGUAAUAACAAGAUGGACUACUCUUCCUAGCGGACUCUUCACAACCACUCGUAAAGCUAUACGUUUCUCAAUGCAAUUUCGUAGAAGCCAAUCGAUCCAACCAAGUGACUAAAUCAUUCAUCCUUUCCAAUGAUGUGCAUCAGGUUUUCUACAUGAAGGGCAUCUCUAGCAAACCCAAGAUUUCAGAAGAAAAAGAAAAAUCAUUGGAGCCAAAGAGCCACAUAGUUCUUCCAGGAAAAAAAAAUCAUGGGAGUCGAGAACAAAUCAAACCAAUCAGAGGAUUAUGGUCAGCUUAAUGGCAUGCCUCCAUUCGAUGUCGAAGUUCACCCAAGCAUCAUGUUAGCCAAACAUCAAAUGUUCGUGCGUUGUUACGGUAAAGAUCAAUUGUGUUUUUUAAACUCAUGGAAUUUUUUUUCUAAGUUUUUAUUACACUUAUUGGAUGUCUACACAUUUGCUAGAAAACCAAAAUAAUUUGGACUUAAUUAUUUCUUUCAACUGAAGUACUCACUAAAUUUCUACCUUUUUAUUUAAGCAAGAGAGUUGCUAAAAAAAAUGGAUACAUAACCAUGUUGUAUCGUACAAAGCAACCACAUUUCACAUAUAGUCCGGCUUACCAAACACCAUUUUUUACUGAACAUAGCGUACAUGAGUUAAGAGACAUGGAUUUAUUUCUAUUGCAAGUAGCAUAGCGUACAACCUGCCUGCACCGAUGCAGCUCAAUAUGCGAUAAUUUUUAUCUUCCCAUGUAAUUUUUCUACUCUAGUACAUAUUGAACUCCACAUUAAUGUCAUGUUCUUUGGCGCCCCAGACGGUUCCUAAAGUUUGGAAACAAAAUAGAUAGCCAGAAAUUUUUUUAAAAAAUAUUUAUAUGGAUAUUUGUAUGUUCUUUGCAAACUAACAAUAUUGUUUACCAAUAUCAAAAGGAAUAUGGCUAGGAGCCAUUGCCGCAUAUGGCAGGUGAUGGUAGAUGGCGUAUGGGAUUUCGUUAAUUUAAUGGUAUAAUAAGCUGAAAUACAUUUUCUAUUUGCAAAUGAAUCAUAGCUGAAAGUGGUGAGAUUGUUUUUUCGCCGGUUUAGCAUCCUGUGCACCGGUUCAACUGGAGGGAAGCGGUUCACCGAGACGGAUGACAAUUUUACGGCAGAAUCAUUACUUGUUUUAUUAUUAGGUGAAGAUUUUAGCUUUUAGGUAUCUCACAUUAACAAUCUGUUUCUAGUGUAUAAUGUAGGAGACCCGUAAAGAGUCUACACACACAUAUAUAUGUUGACUAUGAAUGUAAGUUUGUUGGUUUUAUGUAUGUUCAUUUGGAGUUUAUAUAAAUUUUACAUUUUAUAGUUUUGUGUAUAUGACGAAGAUCCAUGACUUGCAUUAAUUUAACCUUUCUUCCAACAACUCUUAUGCAUGCUGUUUCUAGGGGAGCGCACUGGUUGCAAUUUUGGUCCCCGAUAUAGCAUGAGGACUUAAGGGAGACGGGCACGUCGUAACCUUAGAUAUUUUUGCAAGAAGCAAAUUAUACUUUGCUUUUGAUUUUCUCCAUGCCAUUUGCUGACUCUUAUCCCUUUUAUUUAUCAUUAUAAGAUGAAAAUAUUGUAAAAACUUGGUUACGUGCGGUCGCAGAAGCUAGAGACUAUUUCUUUUUUUAAAAAUACGCAAGAGGGAGAAACUUGGUAACAGCUAGACAGUGAAGAUCGCAUUUCAUAAGAAAGAUGGUGCACGUUCUUGUUUGGCUGUUAACGAAAUGACUUCGUUUCACCACACCACCAGAGAGCCCCAUUGCACUUGCAGCAAAAGCGUGGAGCCGCUUUCAACCAGCGUGCAAUAAUGCAGUCCCGCGUGUCUUGGUCUUACAGGAUAUUUGGUUCUUUAGUCCGGACUAAAAUUCAUGUCGCAUAGAAUAUUCAGAUGUUAAAUAGGAGGACUAAACAUGAGCUAAUUAUAAAAAUAAUUACACAAAUGGAGGCUAAUUCCCAAGACAAAUCUAUUAAGUCUAAUUAAUCCAUCAUUAGCACAUGUUUACCGUAGCACCGUAUUGUCAAAUCAUGGACUAAUUAGGCUUAAUAAAUUCGUCUCGCAAGUUAGUCUCCAUCUAUACAAUUUGUUUUAUAAUUAGUCAAUGUUUAAUACUCUAUCUAAACAUUCAAUGUGACUGAAAUUUUAGGAGGUCCUAAAGAACCAAACACCCCUUAGUCUCCGCCUGAACUAUAGCAGGUGCUGGCAGCGGUAGCAGGGUCGUCCAUUAUAUCUAUGGAUGGAAAUGAUCUGAUUCGGAUGGAAUCGAAUUCGAAUAGCACUUUUUACCACAUACUAAUCUGAAUUGGAUGUUCUCGAAUGUGAAUGCAAAACGGAUAGUUCAAAUUUGAAUACUUUGCGGAUUUUUGCAUAAUAUUAAUCGAAGAGAAUUUGUUAAAUUUAGCCGAGACAUAAAUUUUUCUAAAUUCAAAUACUUUGCAGAUUUUCGAAUGCAAAUUUUUUCAUACGAUCUCGGUUGAAUACAAACUUUAUAUCAAAGUUGUAUAUUUAGAUUAUAUAUAAAACUUUGUAGUUGACCUCCUUUUCAUUUAAAAUUUUUUAAUAGCUCAAAACAUUAUUCUAAGCUUUCUAAUUUCAAAAUCUUGAAUUUUAAAUUUUUCAAACGACCUCGGAUGCAAACAAGCUCUAUAUCAAAGUGCUUAAUGAGAUAUAAAAUUUUGUAGUUGACAAGUUUUUUAGUUGAAAACAUUUAGUUAUCACAAACAUACAAGUUCUUCAUUUGAUGUCGAGGAUUGGAAGUGUUGAGUUUGAAGAAUAUAUUCUUUGAUUACAAACUUUUCCAUAUGAUCUUGGAUGAAUACGAACUUUAUUUCAAAGUUGCAAAUUUAGAUUAGACCAAAAACAGUAUAGUUUACAAUUUUUUCAUUCAAAAUUAUUUAGUAGCUCAAAAUGUUAUUCUAAACUCUCUAAUUUUGAAAUCUUGAAUUUUAAAAUUUUCAAAUGACCUCGGAUGCAAACAAGCUCUAUAUCGAAGUGGUAGUUCUUAAUGAGAUAUAAAAUUUUGUAGUUCCAUCUGAGAUCAUUUAACAGUCACAAAUAUACAAGUUUUUCAUAUGAUGCUAAGGAUCAGAAAGAUUAAGUUUGAAGGCUGUAUUUUUUUAAUACAAAUUUUUGCAUACGAUCUCGGAUGAAUACAAACUUUAUAUCAAAAUUGUAGAGCUCGAUGAGAAUUUAAACUUUGUAGUUGAUAUAUUUUUCAUUCGAGAAUGUUUAGUGGUCCAAACAUGUAUUAUAAGUUCAGAGAAGAAACACACAAUCGGCCACGUCAUCAAUUGACAACUUCCAAACUGAGCAUUCCUAUUGGUUCACACCUUUCCCUUUCAACUCGUCAAGCUUAUCUCCUCCCACUCCUCCAUCGUUCACUCCCCCUUCCCCUUCCUCUCUCCCUCCCUCCCUCCGCUCCAGCAGUGGCAGCCCGACCUGCCUCCUAGGACGGUGGUGUGCGGGGCUCGGGCAUCCCUGGCCUCUAGUGGCGUGGCAGGGCGGCCUCCAGCAGCGAUGGCGGAACUCGGCCUCCGGUGGCGCACAGGCAGCGCAGCCUACCUGGUCAAAGGCGGCGCAACAGGGCGACCUCCCCAGCCUCCGGCGGCGCGCAGGGCAUCCAUGACCUCCCCGGCCUCCCUUGCCAGAGGUGGUGCGCGGGGCUGCGCCGACCUCCCCAACCAGAGGUGGCAAGGCCCCAGCUUACGGCGGCGCGUGGCUCCCCAGCUAGGGUGUGGUGGGGCGGCGGCAAGUCAGGCGUGGCCGCGUGGGGGUGGGGGGAGGGGGUUGGGCUGGGCGGAUUCAGAUAGUAUCCAUUUAACCAUCCGAAAUGUGGAUAUCCGUUUAACAAUCCGUUUAGCAAAACCGAAUUUGGAUACUUCCACUUAAGUAUCCAACUAGGAUUCGAAUGCGGAUGGUCCUACCAUAUUGUUAUUUCAGCGGAUACGAAUAUGGGAUAAUUCGAAUAACGACUUACCCAUCCCUGAUUAUAUCCGUGUAAAUAAAUAAUUGCGGCAGCAGGUUCCCGUCGCCACGCCCCCGUCAAACCAAACAAUUGCUUGCGCGACACCGUGUUACUAGAUCUUGUACAGUACUCCCUCCGUUGCAGUACUCCCUAAUGAAAGUUGAGAAUCGAUCGACAACCACGGCUAGUUGCUAUGCACUCGAUCAGAUGGUCCAGGCGCCCGCUGGUAAUCAGGUCGUGGUUCACGCGCAUCAGGCCAGCUAUGACGUUGCCAGCAGUGCUCAGUACACAAAUCUAGCUAUCAGUCGGAUCCAAUUGGGCAGGCAUUUGCACUGUGGUUGUGUUUGAACCUGUAGAUGUCGUUGUCAUUAUCAGGCACCAUACAUCCUCUCUCAGAGGGUGUUUCACCCCCUAAACUUUAGCCCCUCUCACAUCGAAUGUUUUAGAUACUAAUUAGGAAUAUUAAACAUAGAAAAUUUACUAAACCCAUUACAUGGAUGGAGGGUAAACGGCGAGACAAAUCUAUUAAAUCUAAUUAGUCCAUGAUUUGACAAUGUGCUGCUAUAGUAACUAUUUGCUAAUGAUGGAUUAAUUAGACUUAAUAGAUUUUUCUUGCUGUUUAGCCUCCGUCUGUGCAAUUAGUUUUAUAAUUAAUUCAUAUUUAGUCCUCCUAAUUAGUCUCCGAAUAUUUGAUGUGACACGGACUAAACUUUAGAUAGCACACCAGGGACCGACACCAUGCAUGCUGAUUUCAUAUCAUAAUUAAGGAAAGUGAUAUCAUAAUUAAGGAAAGUGGUAGCAUCCAAGAAAUCGAUCAUGUUUCUUCCCCCUUUGGCUUUCCUACUAGGAUUUGGAUAGCGGGCCUUCCUACUAGGAUUUGGAAUCCGCUAUCGCAUGACUAUCUUAAUUAUGUCCCAUAGUCCAAAACUCACAAAACAUCAAAAAUCCAUCGAGAAUAAAUUAAGUAAAAAACAUGCGCACACAGAUAAUAAUAAUAAUAAUCAUGUUUCAAUAAAAUUGCUAAGAUUAGAGAUAGUACAUAAACAUAUUAGAUUGUUCGUGACACAUAUCAUGGUGGAUAGUGUCUGUGUCCUUAUUACAAGCAGCGAUAGAUGCUUGUCACCACACACACGCACGCACAGAUGCACGACAUACAUAUAGUUGAGACCAACGGAUGGACGUCCCAUAGGGUGAAUAAUUUAUUGGAGAUAAAUAUUAACAUAACUUGGCCAUAGCUUGAAGCAUAGCAACAUAUGCUUAUGAAUGGCAUUCAUGCGGGUAGCAAUGCUAUCAUAUGCUUUUAGGCUUGUCCUUAGCUUCUUCCAUCUUAUAGCAAACACUGCCAUUUCUUCCAUCUUAGCAGCAACUGUCAAAUUAAUUGAGAUAUGGAAAUCCCAUUAGCGCAUGAGUUAAUUUUGCAGUGGAAAUAGAGUAGAAGAUGUCUUCAUAAUGUAAGUAAUAUGACUCUGACAUAGGGAGUGAAGUCAACAAAUUACAUUAACGGAAAUGCAUGGAAGGCCACGCAUAUGUAUUAGUCCGAUAUGCUACAAAGCUUGUAUGUACAUAUAAUAAAUUAAAUGCAUUGAAUAGAGUGAUUUUAGUGAAUUUACCUAAAUCGGAUUAAAAAACAUGGGAAACAACAAGUGUUCUUGUAGGGCUUUGUUUAGUUCCCAAAUUGGGAGUAGCAAAGUUUGCAUUUUACCAUAAAUGCGCAACUAUAGCAUGUAGCAUUUUGUUUGUAUUUGUGAAUUAUUAUCCAAACAUUGACUAAUUAGGCUCAAAAGAUUCAUCUCGCAAAGUACAACAAAACUGUGCAAUUAGUUUUUGAUUUCGUCUACAUUUAGUACUCCGUGCAUGUACCGCAAGUUUGAUGUGAUGGGGAAUCUUGCUUUUCAAUAGUGACAAAGUUGGGAUUUCGGGGGGAAGGCCUGUGUCGGAGCCACAUGCAAGAAUGGCUGACAUUGAGGCUCAGACAAAGCCCAAUGGCAACUGCUGACAUGCGAUUAAAUUUAGAUAUCCACAUCCAGCCAUUCACAUUUAUGAGAUAUGGACACGGUGCAAAUGGGUGGGGUCCUGAUAUGGAGGUGCGAAUGGCUGUCUACUUGUAUAGUGUAGCUCCAAUGUACGUAUAUGUAUCUUAUGCAUGUAUACAGUUGCACAAACUCUGAACCAACUCUUCAUAACAGGUCUUUGUUACCAAGUAACUUUACUUUUGCACGUUUCAGCCGAGAGGUAGAAGAGAAUAUUUUUGCAUUUUCCAUGUGCGUCAGUGGUAGAGAACUAGGAAUUAGUUCCGGAUGGUAGGGCACAAAUCUUCCAAACAACUAUCCGAAAUUAAGCAAUCGAGAUAAAGGGUGCCAUCUAUUCUCUCCGAAAAACACAGGUACCAAAAAGAAGAAGAGAAGAGGGAGGGCCUCCCGUUAAGGCCCGCUCGGGGUCUCCAUCCCACCACGCGCCCUCCCAACCCAAAGCCCAUCGUUUUCCCUCCGUCCCUCCCCUCUCCAUUGCCGCCGCCGCUCCCCUCAUCCGAGCUCGAUACGGGUGGUCGGCGGCCCCUCCUCUCCGCUCCCGCCCCCGGCCUCCCUUUGACCGCCGGGCGCCGGCAUCACUGCCGCGGCCAACCCCAGGGCGCAGCGCGUGCCUCUAUUUCUCUCCCCCGUUCAAGGGCCCUUUGAUGGCGACGAGCACCCACCCACCAGGUAUGCCCUCCCCUUCUCUUCCUAACCCUAAUAUAUUCGGAUCUCACCCAGUCACAAUAUAUUACCUAAUAGCUUCGAUUUUGUUUGCAAAAAUCAUCACGUGCGCACCCAUGUCCGCUAGAUUCUUGCGCCUGAUCCUGUGCUGCUAUGGUUUGGGCGGGGUAGACUAGUUGAUUCGUGCACUUUUGGGUGCUUGUAGUGCUAGGUUUUGGAGGGGGAUAGCCCAGUUGAUUCCUCCGUUUUGGGUGCUCAUGGUGAUAGGAUUUGGAUGGGGAUAGCCCCAAUGAUUCGUGCGCCUUUGGGUGCUGGGGAUAGUUUUGGGUGCCUGGAUAGUCCAGUUUCAAUGUCAGUAUAUGCGUAUUUUGGGGAGAAUUUUGUUUUGGGUGGUUCUGGUGCUAGAGUUUCUGAUGCUUAGUAGCCCAGUUUCAAUCAAAUUCCCCCAUGGGUCGUGCACUACGGGAAACAAGAAAAUUGCCGAGUGUAUUUUUUUUGUCGAGUGUUUUUUUUCGAGCACUCAGCAAACAAGCUCUUCGCCGAGUGCCAAGUCAAAAACACUCGGCAAAAAAAAACACUCGGCAAAUCGGGGCUUUGCCGAGUGUCAAAUAAAAAACACUCGGCAAAGAAGGGGGUUUGCCGAGUGUUAAAAAAAACACUCGGCAAACAGGAGGGUUUGCCUAGUGUUUUUUUGACACUCGGCAAAAAAAUAAUUGUUUUUCCUCUUUUCACCUUGAAAUUUUUUCUACUCCCCACAUACAACACGUGGUACUCCAUGUUAAAAUUUGGUAUAUUUUUGGAUUUAUUUGCUAUAUUUAUUUAAUUAAUUGCAUUACAAGGAAAUUUUUGGUAUAAGUCAAAUUUGAACUGCAAGUGAUUCAAAUUGUGGAACAAAAUGAGUAGAAAAAUGAUAUUCAUGUUAUUUGGCUCAAUUUGAGACCUGACCCAUGAAAUGAAAAGAAAUUUCGAACAUCUUGUUCAGGAAACACGACAAUGAACAUGUGGCGGUAGUAUUUUUAAAUUGUAAAAAAAACAAGCAAAGUCUGAAAAUCAUGAGAUUUGUAGUUAUGUGAUGAUAUAAUACGUGGAAGCUGUGGAAAAAAAUUGGAAAGGUUUUGCACAUUUCAUCAUGUACGAUGAUUACAAACCGAAGCAUAUCAGAAGAAGAAUAGUAACUUUGAGAAGGAUUCGAUAAAAUUUAGAGUCGAAGUGACGGUCGAGUUCGGUUUGACUACAAAACUUUUUGUAUAGUCAGUAGAGAACAUAUCUUAUUUCGUGUGAAAAUUUGGUAUUUUUUGAAACUGUUGGAUAUUUUUAAUUUUUUUUUAAAAAAACUUUGCCGAGUGUCCUAGGGUAGACACUCGGCAAAGAAAAACUUUACCGAGUGCCCGCCUAGGACACUCAGCGAACCUUUUUUUAAACCUACCGGCUCCGGCCGGCCCAGCCCACAAACACCACCCGCCCCCCGCCCCCGCGCCUUCUUCCUCACGCCGCCCCCGCCCCCCACCCGUGCCUCCGGACCGCCCCCUCCUCCCCCUGGCCUCCCCUCACGCCGCCCCCCUCCUCCCCUAGCUCCCUCCACCGGCGGCCCUCCCUCCCCCGGCGCACAUCCUCCACUCCUCCUCCCCUUCCCUUCCCUCCCCUCCCCUCCCCUCUUCCUCCCCUGGCCGGAUCUGGCGCCCCUAGCUCCCCUUUCUUCCGCGGCCAGAUCUGGCGCCCUCCCGGCGGCGGGUCGUGGCGAUCGGGGCGGCGGCGGCGGAUCAGGCCGCGGGGCGGCGGCGGCGGCGGGUCGUGGCUACCGGGGCGGCGCCCUGCCCCUCCCCUCCCUCUCCAUCUCCGGCUGCCGUCCACCCCCUCCCCGGAUCCGCCCCCCUCCCCUCCGCGCGGCCAGCCCCUCCUCCCUCUCCGGCCGCCGCCCCGGCCCCUCCUCUCCCUUUCUCCGGCCACCGCCCCGCCCAUCUUCUCUGGAUCCGGCCGGAUCCGGCCGCCGCACAGCCCCUCCUCCCCGGAUCCGGUGGGCGCGGACUUCGUGGUGGUGGCGCCGGAUCCCUCCCCUCCCUCUCCAGAUAACUCCCUCCACUCCUCCGCUCUUCCCCUCUCUCGCGCGGCGGCCUCUCUCCGGCCGCCGCCCCGCCCCUCUCCCCGGAUCCGGGGGGGGGGGGACUCCGCCCCUCUGCCCCGGAUCCAGCUCCCCGACCCGCGAGUGGGGCGAGCUUGCUCAUGCGGUCGACGUCGAGGCCAGGGUGUGGUGGAGGUGGUGGCCGGCGGGUGUGGUGGUGGUGGCGGCGGCGGGCAUGGCGGCGCGGAGGCAAGGCACGGCGGCCGGUGGGAGGCACGGGUGCAAGGCGUCGACGGCAGGAGGCAAGGCACGGCAGCAUGGGAGGUGGUGCUGUGGUGGUGGUGCUGGCGGUGGUGGCGGCGGCGGAGCAGGAUGUGGUGGUGGCGGAGGAUGUUUUUUUUUCAAAAAUUUGUUGCCGAGUGUUUUCUCGGCACUCGGCAAAGACUUUACCGAGUGCCCGACACAAAACACUCGGCAACUCAGUGUUUGCCGACUGAAAAAUUGCCGUGUGCCGUUUGCCGAGUGUUACACUCGGCAAACGGUUCGCCGAGGGUUUUUUGCCCUUCGCCGAGUGCCCCUAGCACUCGGCAAUUUCACUAUCUCCCGUAGUGGUGGCUGGACUUAUGGGGGGAUCAUUGAUGGGGGACUAGUUGGAUACUUUUUGGCUGUUUUGGGAGUCCUUGGCAGCGGCUUCUCAGGGCGUACGUAGCCCAUUGUAGAUUCCAGCCGAGAAGAUUAAGGAAUUGUGACUGCAACCAUGUUACUUUUCUAGGACUCUGUUUCUGAUAUUGUUCCCGCUGCAUCUUUUCAUCCCCAUGGUGAAUGUUGCUGUUGAUCUGUAGAUUGGAUUUGUUCCUCGGUAGCUUUAUUAGAUUUGUGCUGAAUGAUAAUCUCUGCCUGUGAUAUUUUUCUUCAUUGCGGAUGUGUGCCGAGUAUUAUCCCCUUUGUUCAUUCUGUUGGCUUUUUUUAUUGUCUCUGUACUCGGCUGUUCAGCUUGUGCAGCUAAUGAUCUAAUGUAUUUUGUCGUAACUAUGUAUUUUUCGGAUGUGUGCCGAGUAUUAUCCCCUUUGUUUAUUCUGUUGGCUUGCUUUCAUUGAUCUUAAGAUAACUGGUGCUAUAAAUUCACACUAGCUGAUGCACUUGCAAAUAGCUAUGUAAAUAUGAAAAGAAGUAUUUUUUUAUCCUUUUGUUUGUUUGGCAUCAUAUCUGUUUAAAUGGCAUAGCAAUAAGAAUUUUUUGUUUUUGGGGAAUCAUAUCUGCUUAAAUGGUAUAGAAAAUGCUGAGUGCACUGUCAAAUAGAUUUUCCAGCAGUCUGCUUUCAGUUGUUUUUGCAAAUCCUCACAGGCCAGUGAACUGACUUUGUUUUUACCACCCCAUGCCAUUUAAAUGACUAAAUCAGUCAGCCUAAUACUAUAUAUGGUCAUGCUAUGAUCUUAUUUCUUGAAGCUCUAUAGGUCAACCCAUAAGGGUAACUUAGUUUUUCCUAUUCUGGCUGGGGAAGUGGAUACGAUGGCUAUCCUUGGUAGAGUUAAAUACAUUGGCGGCUCUUAGCGCGCCAAUGUGGCACCACAAUAUCGAACAUAUGUAGAAACCCCCUUGUUUUUUCUCAUAUCCCUCUCUCUCAGCGUCCUCUUCUCUUCUUCUCCUCUGUCUCCUCCCCUCCCAUCGCGUGCUUUAUUGCGCCGCCGCCAUCCGCCUCCAUGUAUGAACACGUCGUUUGUCAUGAAGAAGCAGUUGAUGAGGCAAUCAAGCAUGUGGUGCACAAGGUUCUUCUGCUGGCCAAGUCCGAGUCGAACAGCCGCGCAUUCAUUGGGGAAGCACGCGCCAGGCAUCACCAGGCUCCUCGUGCCCCUACUCUGCUCCAAGGACUCGGUGCUUCGACGCGCUGCUUUCCCUGUCCGGCGAGCGGGGAUCGUUGGGAGAUGAUCGAUGGAGGAUGGAGCUGAUCCUCCUGUACACGGUGCCGGUGGGGAGCAGGGAGCUGCGGAGCAGGUCCACGGGCGGCGCCAUUACAGCAGGUGCAGGCUAAGGGUAAUGAGCAGAUCGAGGCGAUGGAGGAGGACCCGCACGAGGUGCAGCUUCUUCGCCUCCUGCGCAAAGUCAGCGCCCAAGCAGCCGCUGAGGGACAGGCCGAGGCUUAGCUCGAUCUCAUCCGACUAAAUGGUGGCUGCACUCCCACAGUCCCACUGGUGCUCCUCCCUUCUGUCCGAACCUGCCGAGGAAAUCCCUCGAUGCCAUGGGUCCCGGCUGGACGACUACUCCUCCCACAGAUUGACUGAGGAAGAAGAGCUUCUCAGUGUCCAAAAAUUCAGUUACACUGGAAACAGCAACCAAUUACGUUCUUCCGGCUCAGCCAAGCCCCAAUCUCCUUGCUUCUGUGCGCCCCUGCUAAAUAUUCCAGAAACCAAUCUGGUUAGUUGUUUUUUCACAUUUUCAGUGCAUGCCGGUGCUGCUGUGUGCGGCAUGCAUGGAGUUGUCGUGGGAGUGCACGGUGGCUUAGCUGGUGCGCCAGUGCGCGGGCACGAACACAACGGUGAAGAUGGCAGGGCCAUCUCAAAGCUCCUGAGCACCUGCACGCGUCGCUGAGCAGGACAUGCUGCGACGGUGGGCGAGCGCUGCUAACGCCCUGGGGAAGAGCAGUGGGUGCAGAGAGAGGGAGCGAGGGAGAGGGGUUCUUGUAUAUGUUUGCUAGCGUGGCACCGUUUACGGUGCCCGCCUAAGUGGCAUUCACGUGUCAUUCAUCCCAAAUGGUGUUGCAAGGUUGAACCUAUUGUGGGAGGCUUUUGGUUUCCCUUGACAGUAUCACCAGUGAUAUCACUGCGUUCUGGUUAUGUAUGAAACACUUGUCCUUUUAAAACCUUUCUGAAUUUAGAAACGAAUUUGAAACAUUACCCUCAUUUCCAUGUUUUUCUAUCUUUUGUCCCUGUAAAAUCAAACUAAAUUUGAAUUAUUAUGUUCAGAACUACAAGCUGAUUUACUUGUCCCAUUUGCUAAUAACAGGGCCUUGUGAUUUCUAAUGAACAUUGCAGAGCAUGUUAUAAAGCGUAUGCAUGAACACCAAGGGGAUGAAACCAUUGGUAUAUUUCUCACAACCUUUUGAACUUAUCAUUUAGCAUAUUUGUGUUCUAGUGUGACGUUUCAGCCACGAGACAUGAGAAAUGUUAGCUAUGGAUUUUGGUUAUUCAUCAUGGGUUCACAGAUUUGUUUUUCUCUAAAAGAAUUGGGAAGUAGCUUUCUUUCUGGGUAUAUGUGGGGAAAUGCAUAUGCAAUCUUUUAUUUAUUGAGGUGACUGUAAAAUUCUUGUCUGACUGAAUAUGCGAUUUCAACCUACAUGCUAUACUUAGGGAAAUUUGUGAAUCUCCUAAUGUCUGCUGCAUGGCAUGAAUGCAUAUUUUACUGGUCCAUAAUGUGAAGUUCUGUAUAUAAACUUCUCGUGUUGACCCUUUAGAACAUGCUAACUGGAGAGUUUUCUAGAGUAGUUAAACAAGAGAUUUAGUUAAAUCUGCACACAUAGGUGGGGCCUGGCAUACCCUAAGAAUCGGCCUAGCCGGUCAGCCCAUUAGUAAAAAAAAAAGCACCGCAGUCAGCAGUCCCCACGUUGGUCUUCCUCGAGUCGCGACUCGCGAAGCUCCCAUCCUCCGAGUCCAAGAUGGUGGACUGUGUCGAGCGCGGGGCGGGCGAUUAGUUGCCCGGCCGCCGGCGGGGGAUGGCCGGACGGCCAGAUCGCCGACUCCUCUAGUCCUCCCUCCAGCCUCUGCGCUUCUUUCACAGUGGAGCUAGCGGCGAGGCGCCCGACCGACACCCUUCUUCCCAAAUCCCGGCAGCCCUACCUCGAUUUGGCCUCCUCCGAUCAUUUGAUAAUCAAUUUGAUGAAAUUAAUAUGGAGUUGCUUUCUUGUAUGGUUGCCUUCAAUCCUGCUAAUUCAUUUGCUUCAUUUGAUGCACAAAAGAUACAUAGACUUGCUAUAUUUUUAUCCACAAGACAUCACAAGCACGGAUUUGCUAAAACUUGAAUUCCAGCUCGAUAUUAUAUUGAUGAUGUGAGAUAGGAUGAUAGUUUCAAAGGCCUACAAGAUCUUGUUAACUGAGACUCAGUUAAGCUUGUUGAAACAAACAGGCAUAAUAUUUAUGACUUGGUUUACUUGCUUCUCAAAUUGGUAUUGGUUCUUCUUGUGGCGACAGCUAGUGUUGAAAGGGAUUUUUGUGCAAUGACUUUGAUCAAGAGUAAGCUAAGAAAUAAGAUGGGUGAUAGUCUUUUGGAUGAUUGUCUUAUCACAUUCAUUGAGAAAGAUAUUUUCUUUGAAGUGGAUGAAGAAGAUAUAAUUAAGACUUCAUAUCCAUUAGAAAUCGUAGGCUGGAGAAGAAGUAAUAUUUUAAUUUUCUUUGAACGUUAGGUCUGUAAGCUUCUUUUAAACUAUCUACAUUAUAAUUUAUGGACCUUUUAAUUUAACCGUUGAAUUCAUGAUAUUAUGAGAUUUUUUUAUCUAUGUUAUUAUUGUUUACCGAUUUAUUACCAAAUUAUUAGUUUGAUCUUACAAUAUUGUAUUUUGGAUGAUUGGCUCGGCAUACUCUAAGUUUAAAUCCUAGCUCCGCCACUGUUUGCACAUUAAUGUGGCUUAUAUGUGUGGAGUCACUUAACCUAUGCACUUGGACCUCCACUCCCUUAGGUUUUAUGAACCUAAUUUGACAGCCUGCUCGUCUUUUAUUUUCUACCAAUCAGCUAGGAACGAACAUGGUGAUGUUUGCAUCUCUGCCAUCAAUGGCUUACAUGUCAUUAUGUAUCACAUUAGCAAGUCUUGUUUUGUUAUUGGCUGGGAUGACGGGGACUCUAGCUGGAAUUGAAUCAAAGUGGUAGAUCACAGGGUAUUCAUUGCCAUGUAUUUCUGCAGUUGCAUGGACUUGCAUCAAACGGACCUUCCUACUUAUGUGAUUGUCCUAUAUGAUCUCCUUUGAUUUCAUUUGCACACUGUAAUCACAUUAGCUAGAACACUCGCUUUUUGCUUCAAAUUUGAAAUUCAUAUCAUGAUGGACUAGAACGCUGAAUUUCUUGAUUGCUGAGUUACUAAUCACAUUGUGGCGCUGCCAAAGAAGCUGGACUCUUCAUUGUUGUUGCCUUGUGGGCUGCCGUGUGCAAAGAACAAGAGCGCACGGUAUUAUAAUAGCAGAGCAGAACACAGACAAGCGACAAGGAGCGGAGCAGAGCAGAGCACAGCCAGGCACAAGCAGUAGAGUAGAGCAGAGCAACCGGGAGAGGAGAGGGCACAUAUGCAGAGUAGAGCAGAGCCAAGCGCAAGCAUUCAUGCACUCAAGCAUGCAGCAGAGGUGUAGCAAGGCAAGCACAAGCAGCAGAGCAGAGGGAAGGGAAGGCUGGGAGAUGAAUAGGCGAAUAGUUACCUGGACAGAGCAGAGGGAAUGGAGAUGAUGCAGAUGCUUCCGGAGACUCGAGAUUUGGAGAGGAACAAGGCCACGUUGUGAACAAGGUCUCCUUUCUCUUCUCUAUUUCCCGCGCAAGUACUUGUGCAUAGUGGCUGCCUCAUCCUCCAGGACGUCCACUUCAACCUGAGGCGGGUGCCACAGACAUCCUGGCUAUGCGACGGCUACCCCCAGCACACCCCCGGCGCCUAUGAACCAUGAUCCUAAUACUAUAAAUUGUCAACCUUGUAAUCUUAUUUCAAGCAUGCUCUCUAUGUCAACCUGUAAGGUUAACUUCGUUUUUCCUUUUCUGGGUAGGGGAGUGGAUAUUGCUGUUAUUUAUAUUAUGUUGAUAUUGGUUUCCACAUGUCAUUCACCCCAAAUGUGUUGCAAGGUUGAACCUAUCAUCGGAGGAAUUUUUUUCCCUUUACCUUUAUAUCACUACGCUCUGGUUAUGUAUGAAACACUUGUCUUCUUAAAAACCUUAAUUUAGAAACAAAUUUGAAACACUAUCUUCAUUUACAUCCUGUAUGUGUUUUCUACCUUUUGUCCUAUAUGAUCUGCUUUGAUUUGAUUUGUGCAUAGUUUUUUCAAUUCAGACCUGGUGAUUUCUGAGGUUCAUGUUGUGCUGAUAAGCAGCCUACUAUUCAGUAACACUUUCAUGUGGCAUGUUCAUGUUAGCUAGCUAGAAACACUGCUUUUAGCUUCAAAAUUCAAAUUCAUGACAUGAUGGACAUUGACAAUGAAUUUCUUGAUUGCCGAGCUAUGUACACUGUAAUUCAGACCUGGUGCUUUUAGUUUUUUUCUUGAUUGCCGAGCUAGAAACACUGUGCUUUUAGUUUUUUCAAUUCAGACCUGGUGAUUUCGGUUUUUUCAAUUCAGACCUGGUGAUUUCUGAGGUUCACGUGUCACACCGAUUUUAAGAACAAAAUCGAGUGCAUUAAAUAUACAUGUACGCUAGGAUCAGGUUACACACAUGUACGACAUAAGCGAAUAUCAAAGACAAUGCCAUAACGAAAUAAAGAGAGUAUUAAUCAUUAUUACAUGACCGAAAGUCUCAAAUAAACCACAAAAUCUAUUUAUUACAUAGCGGAACUUCUAAGAUAGCAACGUCUCCACAGGCAGCUGACUGAAGAACUGUAUGCCUAGAACUCUUCAAAAUCGUGCAGGUACUCCUCCAGAUUAGCUUGGUAUGAACAACGGUUUUGCAAGGGUGAGUACACUUAUGGUUGGUACUUAAUAAGUCGUGGGAAACAAUGUAGUGUAAGGCAAAUCAAGGUAUGGCUAAGGCUUAAACAGCAUCAGCUUUUAAUUUAGUUGGUCAAAUUUUAUUAGCAAUUAAUUAGACGUAAAUUUAUACCACCCGAAAUUAAACAAGAACAUGAAUAAAAUAAUAACAUAACCAUAAAUGAAAUGACAACAAUUUAAAUCCAUCUUUUCAUAGCAUUAUCAUGUGAGGGUCCAGUCCGUUCUUAACCGUGAGCACCGCUGAUCGAUCAGUUUUACACUCUGCAGAGGUUGUACAUCUUUACCCACAAGUCGCGUAAAAGUUCAAAAGAAUUUUGGACCCAACCAUGCGGUAUUUGCAAGGCACCAUACCACACUUCCAAGGUGUGAUUGCAUAUGAACGCUACGAGGCCUUUACAAAGAUUCAUUAGUAAGUGGUAACCCGCUAAGGUUUCGGUAUUUGGCGUGCACAACCUAUCACAGGCCGCUAAUGCAACGACUCAGUCCCCCCUCUUGCCUCAUCACGAGUAAGAUUACCCCAGACUAAGGUUUCUAAUUAUUCAGCCAAGAUCAGAACCAUUUAGUCUUGUGGUAGCACUGUUUUCCUGGGUGGUUCUCCAUGUUCCGAUUAAACAUAAUGGUCUUGUAUUAAUGGAAGGUAUAACAUAAAUAAUACCAAAUUAAUAAUAAUUCAGAUUAAAUCACCAUAACCAUAUUUGAGCACUAAGCAUGAGCUACCCAACAUAAAUUUAACCCGGUUGGUCAAGGCAAGGUAGAUAAAGUCUAGGAAAUUCUUAAUUGGGACCCAUCAAGUUUAAAUUAUACUUUGCAUGGUAUGUUGCAUAGAACAUGAAAGUAAAUGUGAAUAGGACUGAAAAGGAGUGAUUAGGGACACGACUUGCCUUUUUAACCUUGUUCUUGCUGUUCGUACUCUUCGAAAACUUUGAUCUUCAAAUCCCUUGAACUGCUGACCGUCUACACGCGUCACACGACCACAUACAAGCAAACAAAUAUAAUACAUAAGAAAACAGUACACCAAUCAUAAUUAAAUAGAAGAAACAAAUUUGAAAAGCUAUUCUACGCAUUAAAACGAAAACACGGAUACAAGGAACGUUAAAAACGGAGCUACAGUGCAAAAACUACGCUUAAAACAAGAUGCAGGGGUAUAACUACGAGAAACCAAACUUCCAGGGAUUUAAUUUUAAAUAAUUUUGAACUGCAGAAGGGGCAGCAGGGCAAAACGUAGAAAAUGCAGGGGCUUAAGCGCAAAAGCAUGGCUGCUGACUCAGCUGACUUGAUGUGGAUCGUCGGAUGGCGAUCCGGCGGCCGGCAGCUGCUGCGCUGACGUCAGCGACGGCGAGCGCCGGCGAAAAACGGCAGUUCGCCGGAAUCGCCCGGGAACGCGCGACUGGGUGCAGAUUUGAGCGAGGAUUAGACUAGCAGAUAGAAACGAGCGCAGUGAACUCAUUUGGGAUGCCUACGGCGAGGACUUGGCGACGGCAUCGGCUCCGGCGAGAACUUGCGGCAGGGAAACCAAAUAAAAUAAAAUAACACGGUUCAGAGAAGCGGCGCUGGAGGAACGCGAGCGAUUUUGCGUGCGAGCGGAAGAAAACACUGCGAGGAAGAUGACUGCGGGCCCUGCUUGUCUGCGGCAGGAGGAGAGCUGCGUGCGAGAAGAACCUGGCCACGAUCUGGGCCGUUGCCUUCGAUCUGGGCCGAGGCAAGCUAGCUGGCCCGCUGCUGCGGAAAGGUGCUGGGCCACGGGCGGAGCACAGCGUCGGGCCAGAAAGGAGAUGGCUGCUGCGAGGAAACAAAAGAAAAUGAACUGGGCUGCGACAGAGGAAAACUGGGCGUCGGCCAGAAAGAAGCUGCGUGCAGCUUGCUCUUGUUUCCGAACUAGAAACAGGAACUGACGGAAAGACAGAAAUCAAUUGGAGACUGAAACUGACGCCCCAGACUCUGAACUUCGAAAAAACAGGACAACCAGCCAACUGACAGAAAAAAAAAAGCUUAACAACCCAAAAGCAGUACACAACCACGAAACCAGGCCACAAGACUGAAAAAGCUUGAUAGGAACAUCUGGCGACUGAACCAAAAAACUACAGAACUGCAACUGAAGAACUAGAGAACAGAUAAAUAACUGAUUGAACUCUGAAACUGAAACACCAAAGAGCAGGAAGCUGACUGACGGAAAAUGCAAAACAGCAACCCAAGGUGAAACACAAAUUCUUCUUCAAGCAUUCAAACAAAGAGAUAUGCAACAGCAUGAAUGCUCAAUAAAAUCCUAUAUUUCAUUAAUUAAUUAGAAAAAAUGCUCAAAUGCCUAGAAAAAUGCAAAAGUGACCUUAUAUGCCUUAAACAAGCAAAUUCGUUUCUAGCGAUUUUUGGUAAAAUGCAAAAUUAGAGAUUUUGGGUGUUACAUCAUGUUGUGCUGAUAAGCAGCCUACUAUUCAGUAACACUUUCAUGUGGCAUGUUCAUGUUAGCUAGCUAGAAACACUGUGCUUUUAGCUUCAAAAUUAAAUUCAUGACAUGAUGGACAUUGACAAUGAAUUUCUUGAUUGCCGAGCUAUGUACACUGUAAUCACAUUGUGGGGCUGAUAAAAUAAGCAGCGUUGAGACACAUAACAAUUGAAUCUUAAGCUUCACACAGAAUCUGGACCAGUCAUCCUCAUUCCUGUCAUGCUGGAAAUGUCUUUGAUACAUUUCAAUCACAGGCAAUUGAAUUCGUACUGGGGAGGAUGGCAAUGGUGCAUGAAGAGAGAUCAAUGUGGCAAAUCUCACAUUGUUCAUUACCAGGUAUCUCCGAUUUCUGGUUAUUUUAAAUUUACCUUGACAUGUGACUUAUUGAGGUAUUGUAUUUCAUCUAAUGGUAGUUCUGAAUUUAUGGUAACCUUGGAUGGGGUUUGUCACUUUAUACACGCACGGACUUACAAAGGACAGCAAAUGAGUAUAUUUAGAGGGCUCCUGUCCAACCAUGGACUAUACUUAUGUACCCUUUUUUGACAUGGUAAUUUGAGGUUAAUGGAAAAGUAGCGAUAGUCGCCUCCAGCGAAGCUACCUUCUUCGAAAGCUCCGAGGCUGCUUUCUCGCUCUUAGCAAGCCGAUCCCUCGUAAUCAUCGAAGAGUAAGAGACCUACAGAUUUUAAAAACCAAGUUACCAAAAAUAACGAAGUAAAAGACAACACUCGCAAGACAAACCACCAAACUAUCUCAUAAUUGUACCUUCUUUACGAGGUUCGCCUCCAAGUUAAAGAGCUCUUCCAAGAUCAUUGACUUCACAGCUUGCUGAAAAUCUAUGCGCCAAAGGAUAUAGUCGUAAGCAUAAAAUAAAAAUUGGUAAAAACCAAGGACAGCAAAGCCAUCUACAAGCUGUUCUUACCCUCAUACUUUCGCACCUCAACGGCGAUCGGAACAACCUUCUCUCUAGCCUCGCCCUUAGACGCCACCACAAUCUUCCCGCCACACAAAUCCACAACCCCUCCUUUACCUUUGCCCUCUCCCGAAGUCGUCGUGCCCGCCUUCUCCACCCUUUUUGAACCGCCAACAUCUGCAUAGCGCUCGCAACCUUCACCUUCAGCCCCCCAGACCAAAGACAGGUUGUGAGGAUUAUAAACCCUACCUUCGGCGCAUGUAGCUAGAAUCUCCGUGCGCCCGCUCAAGCCCAGACACUCAUUCAGUCCCUGAAGCCCCGCCGGCAACCUCUCACCUACAUCAUAACAUUCAACUUUUAGCCUCACAUGAUCCUCACAACUAACCUUACCAACGCCCCCCAUAGUUUCUUCCAAGUCCUUCAAAAAUUUCGUUGAGGCCUCACCACAAUCAAAGAACCGUAGCAUCGAUAGAAACACCUCUACAUGCUUACCAGAUCUCACAGCUUCGGCACACCCACCCUUUGGAUCAGAUGAGAACGCAUCCACAAGCUUCGCCUUUUCGGUGGCAAACCCCCUCUCAAGUUUCCCAACAUCAGUCAAGAGAUGUUGCGCGCUCUUAAACUUCGAGCUUAUGGAAGGCACCGUGAUCUUGGUACCAGCUGCCGAAGACGCGUCAACCUUGGCACCCGUAACAGUAACAGGAGCAAAUCGAGGUUUCUUGGCGCCUCUUUUGAUCCGUGCGGCGGGCCCGGUGGAUGAAGGUGCAAGAGCUGGAACCUCCUUAGGAGGGCGCAUAGAGACAGGAACAACAUAUGCCGGAUUGCUCAAGUCGCCAGACGAAGCUGUCGACCACGAUGGCAACAUAGCAGACGAAGCCCCCGCGGUCAUUUCCUUCCUUUUUUGCGCCUCCAAAUUCAAGGUCUUUUGCUUCGCCUUAGCGGUCACUUGCAAUUCAAUAGUGAGCUUCACCAUGGGUACGAAGUCAAAUUUUGCCUUUUUCCUCUGCUCAAGACUAGCACCGCGACGGCGCCUCUUGCCCGUAACUUUGGGGUGAGGCAGAACCACAAUAUCAUACAAGUCAAAAAUCUAAGAUGAUGACAUUCCAUUUGUAUCCAUGAUUUAUAUUGUGUUCCUUGAAUAUCCAUUAAAGUCUACUUGAAUUGAUUUGCAAUUAUGUGAAUUGUAUGUGAAACUCUUUCCUUGUAUGGUUAUUCUAAAGUUGUCCCUAGUCGGAGUUCAUGUGAGGACACAUGAAUAUUAGACUAGCACAUGUAUUAGUUGAUGACUAUGUUUCACAAGUCAUGGACAUGAAGAUGUGGAACUAAUAAUGUGGGCACAUGUGGAGACACGUGCUAGGACUGACCCAACACGAGAAGUAGUUCUCUCUUUAUACAACAUAUACGCUUUGUCCUUAGACCUGAGAUUGUCGCAUGUACUCAAGAUGUGGAUCGACUUACUUAGGGGCUAUCAAAUUCUACGCCGUAACAGGGUAGUUAUAAAGGUAGCUUUCGGGUUUGUCAAGAAGCAUGCUAUGAGACAUGGUCAAUCAAGAUGGGAUUUGCCCCUCUCUGAUUGAGAGUGAUAUCUCUGGGCCCCUCGAGUGAUCGGAUCCGAAAAUGCAUGGCCAUGCUACAUACGAUUAAGAGUUAGCCUACAAAAGGAUUCCGAAUCAUAGGAUCGAGAAAGAGCGGUCGGCUUGAAGCUAGACCAAAUAUCGUGAGGCAAAGGGAAUAGCAUGUAUAUAAUGUUGUGAUGGUUCGUCUGAUAUGAUCUUCGUGUGCGUAUAGGAGUUGGCACGUCUUGCUAGAGGUCGCUACCGACUAUUGGGCCGAGUAGGAGUACUCAGGCCAUGUCUAUACGUAUCCGAACCCAUAGGGUCACACACUUAAGGGGCUGGAAGCCCAAUUCGGAUGUGAUCCGAAUUGGAUUAGGUUUAGAAGUACUAAUGGGCCUUGGACCUAGAGGCCCGUUAGGAACCUCUAUAAAUAGAGGGGUGGGGGCGCCCUAGGGUUUACACCUUUUUGGUGAAACACAUCUGCCGCGCCUCCCACGCCUUCGCCUGUUGCAACUCGCGGACCUAGCAGUCCGGCUUGCGACGCUUCCUCCCUGCACGUGUGGAUACCUUGGAAGUGUUGCUCCUGCAGCACUUGGACGAGCCGCCAACGAGCCACGACGAGCCACGAUGAGCCGACGAUGAGCCGCGGCACGAGGGGGAUCUUGCUGCACGUGGACGAGCUGCUGAGGAGCUGCUGGACGUCGAUGUGUUCGACUACGUACGACUACGCUGAUCGACUUCGCUGCAUCAACGCGAAUCUACAUCUUCCGCAUCAUUGCAUCGAGUGGUAAUCCCGUGAUCCUGAUACGGCAGUUUUCCUAGUUUACGCGGUAGAAAAUUUUGUUUUGUGCUAGUGUAGCCUAACUCAUAUCCCAACAACGUGUGCUAUAGGUCACGCAAGCCUGAAAAUGGCCACACCGGACACCGGGUACGAAAACAUGGGGGAUGGACCGAACAUUUGAAAAUGGCCUCCAUAUGUGUUUUCGGCUAUGAAAAUGUGUGUUAUAGGUCACAGAAGCUUGAAAACGGCCGCACCAGCCACUAGGGACGAAAACGUGGGGGAUGGACCAAAGACAUAAAAAAUAGCCUCCAGACGCGUGUUCGGCCAUGAAAACGUGUGGUAUAGGUCCUGGAAGGCCAAAAACAGCUACACCGGCCACCUGGGACGAAAAAGUUUGUGUAAGACCGAACACUUGAAAAUAGCCUCUGGACGCGUGUUCGGCUAUGAAAAGGUGUGUUAUAGGUCACACGAGCCCCAAAACAACCACAGCGAACACCAGCUACAAAAACAUGGGGGAUGGAUCGAAUAAUUGAAAAUGGCCUCCAGACGUUUGUUCGGCCAUGAAAUCGUGCGUUAUAGGUCGCGGGAGCCCGAAAACGGCCACACCGGCCACCGGGAAUGAAAAUGUGGGGGAUGGACCGAACAAUUAAAAAUGGCCUCCGGAUGUGUGUUCGGCCAUGAAAACGUAUGUUAUAGGUCACGGGAGCAUGAAAACGGCCGCACUGGCCACUGGGGACGAAACGUGGGGGAUGGACCGAAGACGUGAAAAUAGCCUCCAGACGCAUGUUCGGCCAUGAAAAUGUGUGCUAUAGGUCAUGCAAGGCCAAAAACAGCUGCACCAGCAACCGGGGACGAAACCAUGGCUGUCAAACCGAACGCUUGAAAAUCGCCUUCGGACGCGUGUUCGGAUAUGAAAACAUGUGUUGUAGGUCACGCGUGCCCGAAAACGUCCACAACGGACACCGGGUACAAAAACGUGGGGGAUGGAUCGAAUAACUGAAAAUGACCUCCGAACGCGUGUUCGGCCAUGAAAACGUGUGUUAUAGGUUGCGGGAGCCCAAAAAUGGCCACACCGGCCACCGAGGAUCAAAACGUGGGGGAUUGACCGAACAAUUAAAAAUGGCCUCCGAUUGUAUGUUCGGCCAUGAAAACGUGUGUUAUAGGUCAUGGGGGCCCAAAAAUGGCCGCACCAGCCACCAAGGACGAAAAUAUGGGAGAUGGACCAAAGACAUGAAAAUGGCCUCCAGAUGCAUGUUUGGACAAAAGUGUGUGCUAUAUGUCGUGCAAGGCCAAAAACAGCUACACCAGCCACCGGGACAAAAACGUGGGUGUUUGACUAAACAAGUGAAAAUGGCCUCCGGAAGCAUGUACGGCUAUGAAAAUGUGUGCUAUAGGUAAUGGAAGGCUAACAAAAGCUACACCGGCCACCGGGGACAAAAUCAUGGGUGUCAGACUGAACACUUCAAAAUGGCCUCCGGACGCGUGUCCGGCUAUCAAAACGUGUGUUAUAGGUCAUGCGAGCCCGAAAACAACCACACUGAACACCGGGUACAGAAACAUGGGGGAUGGACUGAAUAACUGAAAAUGGCCUCUAGACGCGUGUUCGGUCAUGAAAACAUGUGUUGUAGGAUGCGGGAGCCCGAAAACGGCCACACCGGCCACCAGGGCAUGGACCAAACAAUUGAAAAUGGCCUCCGGAUGUGUGUUCGGCCAUGAAAACGUGUGUUAUAGGUCACGGGAGCCCAAAAAUAGCCGCACCGACCACUGGGGAUGAAAUCGUGGGGGAUGGACCGAAGAUGUGAAAAUGGCCUCCAGAUGCGUGUUCGGCCAUGAAAACGUGCGCUAUAAGUCAUGUAAGGCUAAAAAUUGCUACACCGGGACUAAAGCAUCCCCCAUGAGUUACAAUAAAAGGAUUGUAUCCUCUACUCAGUCGGAUGUACUGUGUAGGUGAGAUGGUAAGGAAGCUAUGCGCGAGGUUUGAGGUUGUGGGUUGAAAUCCUACGCACCGCGCGCACACGCGCAUAUUUUGUGUGAAAAAUCAUGUGACUUGUGAUCGGCCAAGGAGAAGUGGGUGCAGCUGUGGCUUAAGUGGCUGAGGCACGCUGCCAUAGACAUCUCCGAUUUGCUCGAAGACUACCAAGACACUAGCAAUAACAAGAACUACUGCUCUUCCUAGCAGACUCUUUACAACCACUUUAAAGCUGUGCAUUUCUCAAUGUAAUUUCGUAGAAGGCAAUCGAUCCAACCAAGCGACUAAAUCAUUUGUUCUUGCCAAUGAUGUACAUCAGGUUUUCUAUAUGAAGGACAUGUCUAGCAAACCUAAGAUUUUAGAAGAAAAAGAAAAAUUAUGGGAGUCAAUAAUAAAUCAGGCCAAUCAGGAGAUUAUAGUAAGCUCGAUGGUAUGCCUCCAUUCGAUGUCGAAGUUGGCCCAAGCAUCAUGUUAGCCAAAGAUCAAAUGUUCGUGCAUUGCUACGGUAAAGAUCAAUUGUGUCUUUUAAACCCAUGGAAUUUUUUAUCUAUGUUUUUAUUACACUUAAUGGAUGUCUACACAUUUGCUAGAAAAUCAAAAUAAUUUUGACUUAAUUAUUUCUUUCAACUCAAAUACUCAUUAAAUUUCUACCUUUUUAUUUAAGCAAGAGAGUUGCUCAAAAAAUGGAUACGUAACCAUGUUGUAUCAUACAAAGCAACCACAUUUCACAUAUAGUCUGGCUUAGCAAACACCAUUGUUGUCUUAACAUAGUGUUCAUGAGUUAGUAGACAUGGAUCUAUUUCUAAUUGCAAGUAGUGCAGCGUACAACCAGCCUGCACCGCCGCAGCUCAAUAUGCGAUAAUUUUUUAUCUUCCCAUGUAAUUUUUCUACUCUAGUACAUAUUGAACUCCACAUAAAUGUCAUGUUCUUUCACGCCACAGACGGUUUCUAAAGUUUGGAACUAAAUAGAUAGCCAAAAAUUUUAAAAAAAUAUUUAUAUGGAUACAUGUAUGUUCUUUGCAAACUAACAAUAUUGUUUACAAUAUCAAAAGGAAUAUGGCUAUGAUCAUUGCCGCAUAUGGCAGGUGAUGGUAGAUGCCGUAUGGGGUUUCUUUAACUUAAUUGUAUAAUAAGCUGAAAUACAUUUUCUAUUUGCAAAUGAAUCAUAGCUGAAAGUGGUGGGAUUGUAGAACCGCCGGCCAUCGUGUCCUUGUAGGACCGCUGCACGAGCCUGUGAGCCACCAGCCACCAUGCGCCCAAGGGCCAUCACCACGCCAUAAGAGGAUGCUGUCUACCCGGUUUCGCGCGCCUGUGCUAGCUGCCUGAACCUGGGCCGCCGCCGGUCGCCUGCCCAGCCGCGCGUUGCGCCAGGGUUUUGCUGGUGACGACCAUGGCCUUCGCGAUCAAAUUAAAAAGUUAUCAACUGCAAAGUAUUAGGUCUCGUUGAGCUCUACAAUUUUGAUAUAAAGUUUCUAUUCAUCCGAGAUCAAAUAAAAAAUUUGAUACUCAAAGCAUAAAUCCAUUAAUCUAGUCUUGCUAAUCCUUACCACCAAAUAAAAAACUAGCAUGUGUUGUGUGUUUGUGACCCUAAACGAUCACAAAUGAAUAACUUAUGGGCCUUGCUAGCGCCCGGAUGUCCAGGCCGGGGCACUAGCAUCAGACCCACGAGUAGCCGUCCGAUCAGGUUCGACACCACUUCAGGAUCUGGCUUAAAAAGAAGUCCCACCGAAACAUUGUUCCAUGUUGCAUGAAGCAACCCACUACCGUCGCCAGGUCUAGAGCAAGCACCACCUUCAAAUGUGCUGCUCACCCUAGCUAAAUAGGGGCAUUAAAAUAUUUCUCGCAUAUCCUUCUCAAAUUAAACAAAAUCGCAACAUCUGAAAAUUUUUACAGAAAACCAUGAAACAUAUCGAUUAGAUAGAUGUAACAAGAUGGAAUAUGGUAUAUGCAACAUAUAGGUUCCGAAAAGCAGAUGAAAUAUUAUGUAAUGAUUCUUGAAACAGUCAAGAAAAAUAGAUGUAACAUCUAAAAUUAAGAAAAGAAGCUUUAUGCAAAUUGCAAAAAGCUGAAACAAGUGGUUGAAACAUUUCAAAUCACCAAAUGCCACAUUUGAAAUGACCAGAUGAAACAUCACGAAAUCAAUUGCAACAGUUGAAGAUGAAAACAUUCAAAUGCCUUGCCUUUCUCCAAAUUUGACCCUCCAAGCAUGAGUCCAGCCAUUUGCACAUUAGACCCUUGGGAGGAGCUCACCGGAGAACAACAAGACCGUGUUAUCCAACAAUUUUCAGAUCAAAUUGCAACAUAAAGAACAAAGCAUUGCAACAUCUGGCAUCACGAGCUACAACAGCAACCAGUUAGGAUCAGGAGAAAGAGGGCAAACACAAGCCUAACAAUGAGUUAUAUCCGGUUUAAACAAGGAUAAAAAUGAGUGUAUUUUACACUCAUCAUGUUGUCUUUUCGCAGCUGUACCGCCUUUAGCGUGUUGUAUUGUUCCUAACACCAAGUCUCCGAGGCCCGAAAAAAUAAGGAAAGUGGUAGCAGCUCAGAAAUCGACUAAGUUUCUUUCCCCCUUUGGCUUUCCUACUAGGAUUCGGAAUCCUCUUUCGUAUGACAAUCUUAAUGAUCUCCCAUAGUCCAAAACUCACAAAAACAUCAAAAAUCCACCGAGAAUAAAUUAAGUAAAAAAACAUGCACACACAGAUAAUAAUAGUAAUCAUGUUUCAUUAUGAUUGCUAAGGUCAGACACAAUACAUAAACAUAUUAGACUGAGUGACCCACCUCACCUCAGAGUAUGCACCAUGUCUGAGUGACCCACCUCACCUUGCCAGGACACUGGUCCUGCCCUCGUGGUUCACGCGCCCUCGUGGUUCAGCAGUGGUCAGUACACAAAUCUAGCUGCCAGUCGGAUCCAAGGGCAGGCAUUUGCAUUGUGGUUGUGUUUGAACAUGGAGAUGUCAUUAUUAUUGUCAGGCACCAUACAUCCUCUCUCAGUUUCACUCCGCCUCACACACGGAUAGCACACCAGGGACCCGACACCAUGCAUGCCGAUUUCAUAUUAUUAAUAUUUAAUUUUUUUAAUGGUUGUUGAAACUAUAUUGUUGAUAUUUUUAUACAUAAUUUACGACCUAAUUUGGAUAUAUUUUUGAAAUAUUCCGAAAUCUUAAAUUCACACGUCUAGAGAUACAGUUAGUCCAAUCUGAUGUUUCCGAUUAUAAAAAUGAACAUAAAGAGAUAGGAAGCGAGAGACGUGAGGGGGAAAGUUAAAUUAGGGCCUAAGGGGUGAAGUUAGGGUUCCAGGUGAGCUGUCAUCACUACGUGUUUUUAAUCGAAAUUGGAAUGUCAGCAAUCGUCAGAUCUUGAGCCAACAGUUGAGACUGCCUCGGAAUGGUAAUUAGGUCUGCGCGAGCUUGCAUUGUGGCCUUCCUUGAAACCUUGGACAUAGGUGUUAUAUUAUUAUGUUCUUGCCAGCACACAGCAGUGAAGGACGACACAGUUGAGAUGUGCAUCACAUUUUCUAUAUGAAGGAUAUGUUUAGCAAACCUAAGAUUUUAGAAUAAAAAGAAAAAUCAUGGGAGCCAAAGCGCCACAUAGUUCUUCCAGGUAAAAAAAAAUCAUCCACUGGACCAGCACAUAGUAACGAUCCAAAAAGUCCAUAUUAAGAUUUUUUGAUAGCAGAAAAAACAUAAAAUGUCUAAUAUUUGUAGUAUUAAAAGGAAAAAUAAUAUAUUCACGUGACCUUUUUCCCGUAGCAAGGCACCGGUACGUGGUCAGACUUAAUGCACGAUGCCUAAGCAUCCAUUGGGCCUACCCUCGUGUGGAUCACGCGCAACAGGACACGGCUCACAAGCUAUGAUGUGCAGCAGUCGCUCAGAUGGCUGAAAGGUACCCUUAAUUUGAAUGGUACCAUAUAUAUAUAUAUAUAUAUAUAUAUAGUAAACAAGACAAACCACCGUUGAUACUACUUUGCACUACUUGAUACAUAUAUCUCCACCAAAAGCGAGGCACGUGGGGAGGAGAGAUAUGUGGUUGAUGGUGCGGGCACGUGGCGAGUGCACCGUACGAAAAUUUUGCUCGUGUCGGACGACUGAUGUGAAGCAUUACCCAAUCUUAAUUAUCUCCCAUAAUCCAAAACUCACAAAAACAUCAAAAAUCCGCCGAGAAUAAAUUAAGUAAACCAUGCACACACAGAUAAUAAAAUUGCUAAUAAGGCCAGAGACAAUACAUAAACAUAUUAGACUGUUCAUGACACAUAUCACGGUGGAUAGUGUCUGUGUCCUUAUUACAAGCAAUGAGAGAUGCUUGUCACCACACACACGCGCACAGAUGCACAACAUACAUAUAGUUGAGACCAACAGAUGGAUCAACUAGAGGUCACCCCAUAUGGUGAACAAUUUAUUGGAGAUAAACAUUAACAUAACUUGGCCAUAGCUUGAAGCAUAGCAACAUAUGCCUAUGAACGGCGUUCAUGCUAUCAUUUUAGGCUUGUCCGCUUCUUCCAUCUUAGCAAGCACUUCCAUUUCUACCAUCUUAGAAGCAACUGUCAAAUUGAGAUAUGGAAAUCCCAUUAGCGCAUGAGUUAAUUUUGCAGUGAAAAUAGAGUACAAGAUAUCUUCAUGAUGUAAGUAACAUGCCUGAAGUUGUGAGAUGGGAAGUGAAGUCAACAAAUUACAUUAACGGAAAUGCAUGGAAGGCCACACAUACGUAUUAGUCCAUGAUAUGCUACAAAGCUUGUAUGUACAUAUAGCAAAUUAAAUGCAUUAAUUGAAUAGAGUGAGUUUAGUGAAUUUACCAGAAUCGUCCAGAAAACAUGGGAAACAGCAAGUGUUCUUGCAGACUGCGUCGGUGCCACCCACAGCAAUACAACCAAAACAACAUGCUUUUGCCCGAGCGGCUGCGCAGCAGCCGCACUCUGCCGCGGUGGCCGAGUUAGCAUUGAGGCUCAAGAUGACCAGGCACAUGAUCACCAUCAAAGCGGUGGUAGUCCUCUUUCCCUCCAUUGCCUCCUCUUGCUGCUACCUUCCUUGGUUACCUAGCUAAGUUUAUUGGUUUUGUGUUGAGAGGUGAUUCUUGCAUUGAAUGGACGUUGCCGCGGCUGCAAUUUAUAGGCAGCUGCGCUAUGUGAUGAUAUGGACAAGGUGCAAAUGGGUGGUCCUGAUAUGGAUAAGGUGCAUGCGAAUGGCUGUCUACUUGUAUAGUGGCGCUCCAAUGUACAUACGUAUGUAUCUUAUGCAUGUAUACAGUUGAUGGAUGUACAUGUUUGUUGCACAAAUUAUUCUGAACCAACUCUUCAUAACAGGUCUUUGUUACCAAGUAAUUUUACUUUUGCACGUUUCAGCCGAGAGGCAGAAGAGAAUAUUUUACAGAGAGGGCAGAGAAGGAGGUUGGCGGAGGCGCCGUGGUAGGGUUCCCCGUGUCGCCAAGAUUUUUGCAUUUUAGAUGUGUGUAUUGAUCACUUCGUCGUGCUCGCGGGGCCCAACUCCAGGUUGUACCCCAGCAGACCACGUUCUGUUUCUCUGCCUCCAAUGAGCAUGCAUGCCUCCACAAGGACCACAAGACUUAGUAAAAAAGCUAAACUUUGCAACACGAUGUAUACAGAACGUUUUGAAAUGUACUCUCGUUAGGCAUUCACCUCCUUAACAAUCACUGCGACUGUAAAAGAGGUACAUCGACGCUAGCUAAAUAAACCACUAUAAGAUUUAGCAAGAGAUCAUUUUAUACAAUCCUGUAACGAAACAAUUUGACAAUUAUAGUGUCCAUAUAUUUUGACAAAAAAACGUUUAAAUUAUAUAAGGAGGUGGGCCCGAAAACGGUUGGAUUACAUCGAGAACGUUUUGAAACAGUUGGCGGAGCAGGAUUCUGGCGUGGAGCAUCUACAUUGUCGCGCGCGCGGACUGCCGGAGUAGGCACGCUCGACUUGUCCCAUCGCCAGCUAAAUGAUUUAGUACCGGAUGGUCUCUAGUACCGGUUGGAGCUACCGUCCACCAGGAGCUUUUCUAGUUUGGAACUGGUACUAAUGCUAAUAUUAGUAUCAGGUCAAAAACAAUCGGUACUAAGGCUAGGGAUGACACGUCAUUUUUCUAGUAGUGUGUGCAAUUGGUUUUGUAAUUAGUCUAUAUUUAAUACUUCUAAUUAGUAUCUACACAUUUUAUGUGACAGGGACUGAACUUUAGUCCGUGGAACCAAACACCCCAUAAGUAUGUUUGGUGCUGUAAGGAUUUCGGUUUUAUUUAAUUUCCUAGGCAUUUAAAUUUCUUUCUAAAAUAAGUUAAUGAAUCAUAGGAUCUCAUUGUUGUAUUCAAGCUGGUGCAUUGAUUUUGCCUAUAAAACCCGCCGCGGUCUUCGCAGCCCCCAUCAAACCCUAGCGCCCUUGCCACAAGCUCAGCACCGCUGCCGCCCGAGCUCGAGCACUAGCACCCACCCAUCGCCGUUGCCUUCCCGUCGAUGGGAUCACCGCCCGGAGCUUCGCAUCGUGGUAAGGAAGCCGCCCGUGAAGAUCCCAUGUGCUCCUAUGCCCUCUACCGCGUCCCCGAGUUCCCGGAGUUGCUAGUCUCCCACCGAGCCGACUCUCCGAGCUUCACGUCACUGGUGCCGCUCCGAAGACCUAGUUCGGUUCGCCAUGCACCUCGCUUCAUCCUGAGCUAAACCCCAUAAUGAAUGGUGGUCGGAUGCUCGCCGCCACGGCGCGUCGUCUUUUCUGUCGCCCGUGCAUUGCCUAUCCCCUUCCAGCCGAUUGCAGCUGUCCGAUCGCAAACCGGUGGCCCUGAUCGGAUACCAAGGUCAAUACCGGUCGAACCGAGCCGUGCGCUGCUUUUGCAAGAAGGCCCCUGUUUUUCUCUCUUUUUGCACCUGAGGUCCUACGCAGUUCAAAAGUAAUAAGAUCUAGGUCCUUUUUCUUUUGUUUUAGCCCGUGUUCUUUUAUAAAAUCCCGCCCACUAUUCUGUUUGGUCUUUUGACGCGUUAGACCUUCUUUUUAUAUGUUUAAUUAGGUUUUAGGUCUCGAUUUCUUUAAGUUUAGCCCUUGAAAGUUUAGUUCUCUCGCAGUUAAGCCCCUGAACCUUGUUUAGCUCAUAUCUUAAGCGUUUUAAAUCCGUUUUAACAGAUUCUUGCGCCUAUAAGUUCAUGUUGACGCAUAGAUUAGUUGACUUAUACGAACCUUGCUGAUUCAGCUCCUUGAUUGUGCUUCAGAUCUCGCUAGGGAAGAAUAAUGGAUGGGCUUUGGUUGAGCUUGUAGAUCGACUUGCAGUUGCAGUGAAUGAGCAGAGGAUUGGCAGUGAAUAAGAUCAGGCCGCUGCCCUGCUUGGUAGGGAAAAUAUCUGCUUGCUACCAAGGCCUGUGACGCAUGGACCCCAUUGAGAGUGCAUUAUUGACAAGGACUUAAAGCCAAGGGCUCCACACCUGUCAUUGAUCAGCUGUCUGCUGGGCGCUGCAAGGAGGUAGUGCAUGUUUGACAUAAAGAAGCAGGUGGCCCAGGAUUUACGAAAAAUAAGGAUCUAUUUGAUACCCUUGCUUAUAUUUAGGGGCUAAAAGUUGCUUAUUUGAAGUUGCUUAUUUUUAAUCCUAGCUGUUUGAUUGCAUGGGCUAAAGAGCAUUGAAUGAGGUGGAUAUUGUCAUGUUUGCCUCUAAUGAUUGCUUCCCAUCACAUUUCUCCCCCCUCAUUCAACGAGGGAAGGAGGUGUAAAGUGCACCUUUUAGCCCCGAUAAGUAACCCUUGUGUUGUUUACGGGCUGAACAUAAGUAGCUAAAGUUUAGCUCCAAUAAACAAGAGUGUUUGGUAUUUUUGGGGUUAAAAGGGGCUAAACUUUAGCUGCUUAUGCAUAAGCAAGGCCAUCCAAAUAGGCCCUAAGUAUGUUUGGCGUUGUAAGUAGGUUUUAUUUAAUUUCCUAGGCAUUUAAAUUUCUUUCUAAAAUAAGUUAAUGAAUCAUAGGAGUUCAUUGUUGCAUUCACGCUGGUGCAUUGAUUUUGCCUACAAAACCUGCUGCCGUUUCCGCAGCUCCCAUCAAACCCUAGCACCCCCGCCACGAGCUCCAGCGCCGCUGCCGCCCGAGCUUGAGCACUAGCGCACACCCAUCGCCGUCGCCUUCCUAUCAAUGGGAUCACCGCCCGGAGCCCGUGUCAUGGUAAAGAAGCCGCCCGUGAAGAUCCCGUCCACUCUCGUGCCCUCUACCGCGUCCUCGAGUUCACCGGAGUUGCCAGUCUGCCACCCAGCCGCCUCUCCGAGCUUCAUGUUGUCGUUGCCACUCUAGCUGCCUCUCUGAAGACCUAGAUCGGUUUGCCGUGCACCCCGCUUCAUCCUGAGUUAAACCCCAUCAUGCCACGUCAUAGUAAGGAAGCUGCUCAUGAAGAUCCCGUGCGCUCCCGUGCCCUCUACCGCGUCCCCAAGUUCACUGGAGUUGCUAGUCCACCACCGAGCCGCCUCUCCGAGCUUCACUUCACAGUCGCUGCUCCAGCCACCACUCUGAAGACCUAGAUCAGUUCGCUGUGCACCCCACCUCAUCCUGAGCUAAACCCCAUGACGAACUGUGGUCGGAUGCUCAUUUUCGAGUGAAUUCCGGCGAGAUGGUCGCCCGCCGCCGCCAUCUCCAUCGCCCAUGCACCGCCUGUCCCCUUCCAGCCGAUGUCCGAUUGCAAACCGAUAGCCGAAAUCGGAUGUGGUCACCAGGAUUAAUACCAGUCAAACUAAGCCACGCGUGCCGCUUUUGCAAGAAGGCCCCUAUUUUUCCCUCUUUUUGCACUUGAGGUCCUAUGCAGUUCAAAAGUAAUUAGAUCAAGGUCCUUUUUCUUAUGUUUUAGCCCUAUUCUUUCAUAAAAUCCCGGCUGCCAUCCUGUUUGAAAUAGAUACGGUUAUAGAUAUGCAAACAUCUGCAUAUUUCCAACCGUAUCUCUUUCGAACGGGAGACGCCUAACUAGGUUACGUGACAUACGAACAUCAUACGGAUAGAGAGGGGUAGGAUGUCUCACCUUGCUAUCCUACAAAGUGACGACUCGAGGACAGUAAUGUAGCCUCUCCUUCAAAAAAAGAACAUACUACUAUCAAGUUAAAUUUUUGACAGCACCUCCCCUGCACGUGGAGGUUUCCAUAACCUGCAUCAAAUAAAACGGCACGAUGGCUGACAACCACAUCUACAGCACCAGAAUGGCACGAUGGCCGACUUCCACAUAAAGUUCUUAUACCUUAGAUUGCCAAGUCAAACAUCCUUUUCUAAUUUCUAAAACAAAAGCCCUCCCACCUCUCUAUCUUAUACUUUCCUAUUUACUAAUUGCUUUUGUAAUUUCUAAUUUCUAUUUCAUCCUACCACCUCUGUACCCUUUUCUCAUUUCUAAUUCCAAUUUUCUAACUUGAAGAGCAAAGAUUGAUUACUAGGAGGGGUGAGGGACGCCGGCCUAGAGAGGCGAGGGGACGUCCGGCGGCGGCGGGUGCGUCGGGGGUAGGAUGCCAGGGGCGGCUGCAGGGGCGCCGGGUUGGGGGCGGCCGGGAUCGAGGGCACCAGUAGCGGGGGCACCGGGCCGGGGGCGGCCGGCGGGGCGGGACGCCAGGGCCGGGGCGACGGGCGCCGGUGGCGAGGCCGCCCGGCCGGUGGUGGCCGGCGUGGCGCCUGGGCCGGGGGGGGGGGGCGGGCGGGGUGCGGCGCGGCGCGCCGGGGCAGGGCGCCGAGGCUGGGUGGUGGGGUACGGGGCGGCGGGCGGGGGGUGGGGGGAGGGUCGGCGGCGGGGCGCGGGGGCGGCCAGCGGCGACGGCGGAGGGCGUCGGUGGUGUUUCGGAAGUGAUACGGAGGGGGUAGAGAGAUUCGUUUUCGCGGCUGAGUGUUCGAGUCAGAAGGCCGUGCGGCUUAAGUCAGGUGGUUUGCCGAGUGCGCGCGAUCUGGCACUCGGCAAAGUCAGAAGUUUUGCCGAGUGUCAGAUCGCGGGCACUCGGCAACUGCAGCUUUUGUCGAGUGCCCUGGAUUCGGCACUCGGCAAAGUGAAGUUUUAAUUUUUUUUAAAAAAAUUUAAUCGGAACACGGGCGUGCCAGCGGGCCCGUGACAUACUUUGCCGAGUGUGUAGCAAAAACACUCGGCAAAAUAUUAUCUUUACCGAGUGUUUUCGCUAGGCACUCGGCAAAGUACACUUAUAUUUCAUGUACACUUUUUCAAUAACGUGUUUUACUAACCUUUUUCUGAUAUACUUGGGAAAAACCUUAUCAAAUUCACUCAACAAUGGAUAUAUGGUUUUUCUACUGACAUUAUUCCAUUAUUUCAUUCAGUUAUAGCUCAAAUUGAAUUUAUAUCUAUUAAAAAUCAAUAAUUGCAUUUAAUAAAUAAAAAAUACCAAACGGAUCUGAAAAAUUUCCAAAAUUUGACAUGAACCAAUCUAUGUUGUAUGUUGCCUGUACAAAAAGCUUUGAAGUCAAACCCCAAUUCAAGUGUCACUUGGACUCCAAAUCUUAUCGGAUCCUUUCUAACUUCUAUGAAUCCUUUCGGGAGAUGAGUCGGUUUGUAAGCAUCAUAUGUCAUAAAUUGGGCGAAACCUUCUCAAUUUUUUACCACAGCCUCCACAUAUAAUAUCAUGACACCUUGACAAAUCUUGUGAUUUUCAGACUUCGUUUGCUUUUUUUAGAAUUUAACAACCAUUCAACCACAUGUUCGUGAUCGUGUUUUCUAAAAAAAUGUUCAAAAUUUCUUUUCAUUUCCUGGUUGAGACCUCAAUCCGGAUUGAAUAAUAUGAAUAUGAUUUUUUCACUGAUUUUAAUCCAUUAUUUAAAUCACUUGCAGUUAAAUUUGACUUAAAUAAACAAAUUCCUAUUAAUGCUAUCAAUUCAUUAAAAAUAGCAAACAGAGAAAAAAUAGACCAACUUUUAAGAUGGAUUACCAAAUGUCAUAUGUGGGGAGUAGAAAAAGUGUGGAGAGCAGAGGUGGAAAAAAAAGUUUUGCCUUUGCCAAGUGCCUACACAAACACUCAACAAACUUUGCGGAGUGCCUAUUGAAAACACUCAGCGAACUUCUGAGUUUGCCGAGUGUCUGGAGGGAGCACUCGGCAACCUACUUAUUUGCCGAGUGUCCGCGUCGGACACUCAGCAAAGUACUAACGGCUGGCACACUCCCCUAACGGACGGCGCACGUGCAAGCCAUGUGCUGGAGAUUUAUCGAGUGUCAAAUCGUUGCCGAGUGUCGUGUGGAUGUUUGCCGAGUGUCUUAUUUGUGACACUCGGCAAAGCUAUUGUUUGCCGAGUGUAUUAUUUAUGCCGAGUGUCUUCCAGUAUACACUCGGCAAAUGAUGUCUUUGCCGAGUGCUCGACAUAAAGCACUCGGCAAAAAUUUUACACUCGGCAACAUUCCUGUUUCCGGUAGUGAGUGACCCGGGACUAAAGACCCCCGUUGUCUCUGAUUGCUUUAUUCCGGAUGGAUUUUCAGGAGAUUUGCUCCCUACCAAUAGGGACUAAAGGCAAGUUUUCCACUUAUAGCAAACCAGUUAGCCCAUUGUUGAUGGAACGCAUCACUAGAAACAGCUCGGGAUCCACUUGUCCAAUAAUCGAGAGGGCCUAUAUAUGGACCACGUGUGCGGAUCCCUAAUUAGGAAAAAAGAAUAAUGGAGUAGGACAUCUCCAUGCUCACCUAGUAGCCGCUGCUAGCUUGUGCGUGUGGAACACGAGUGCCGGCCCAGUUGGCGCUAAGACAUCGUACGUGCAUUAAGGCUACGAUCUCUUUCUUCUAACUCAUGCUUGUGCUAUUAUACAUUAUUGCAUGAUCAUCAAGAUAAGAUCGUAUAGUGACUGAGUGAGACAUGUAUGUACUAACAUGCAUUUAAGCCUCGAACUGUGUGUUGUUACGUGAGCUGCCUCCUCACCUCGCCUCUGAAUUAUUGAACCGUUUCCAACAGUGUUGGUCUCAAAUAAAUUUGACACCAAACAGAUUUAUGAAGAAGAGAGAAUAAUACUUGGAAUUGGAAAAAGUUUAUCUCUCUUUACAAUGGAGUAGGGCUCCCUUUUAUAGUGACCCAUAAGCCACUUUACAUUUGGAAAAUGUCCUUCCUCAACCACUACAUUAAUUCCUAGGAUAUGCUGUACAUAAAGGUCAUUUGAGGUAACGUGUACAAAUGAACUCUUCCACAUGGUCACGUUUCUCAUGCCUCCUGUUUUCCAACCUCGAGACAUCAUCUUCACGCCAAGUUGAUCAUCUAGCCUCGAGGCUCCAUCCACGAUCCAGAAUGAACGUCCAGGCUUGAGGCUCCUUCUUCGUUAAGCUUUGUUGAGAACUCAUAACCUCACAUAGUUCUCCUCCGAGUAUUGUUCCCGACUCAGAACACUCGAGGUUUAGCUCAGUUGGAGUUUAGCUAUUACUGUUGCUAGUCACCAGCCUCGAGCCCCUCCAGAAGCAAGGUGAUGCGAGGGUACGAGUUUUACUAUUAAAGGUGUUUCCAUAGAAUGUGCGAGGUUAAAGCACUUGCAGCAAAAGCGUGGAGCUGCUUUCAACCAGAGUGCAAUAAUGCAGCCGUGCCCAUCUUGGUCUUGGUCUCCGCCUGAACUAUAGCAGAUGCUGGCAGCGGUAGCAGGGUGGUCCAUUAUAUCUAUGGAUGGCAAUGGUCGGAUUCGGAUGGAAUCGAAUUCGAAUAGCACUUUUUACCACAUACUAAUUCAAAUCCGAAUUCGGAUUCGGAUGUUCUCGAAUGCGAAUGCAAAAUGGAUGGUUCGAAUUCGAAUACUUAGCGGAUUUUUGCAUAAUAUUAAUCGAAUAGAAUUCAUUAAAUUUAGCCAAGAAAUUAAAUUUUCUGAAAUUAAAUACUUUCCCUUCGCCCCAGCGGCGGCCUAACUCCCAGGACGGUGGCGUGCGGGGCCCGAGCAUCCCUGGCCUCUAGUGGCGUGGCGGGGCGGCAUCCAGCAGCAGCGGCGGGGCUCGGCCUCCGGUGGCGCGCGGCCAGCCCGACCUACCCGGUCAGAGGUGGCGCAGCGGUGCGCGGGCCUCCCCGACCAGAGCCGGUGGGGAGCGGUGCGCGGGGAGGACCUCCCCAGCCGGAGGUAGCAGGGCGCGACCUCCCCGGCCGGAGGUGGCUCCCUGUGGGGGCGCGGCCGUGACAGCUAGCGAGGCAAUAAUUGCUUCCGUACGCAGCAAUAAUUGCUUGUGCGACACCGUGUUAUUACUCUGGUACAGUACUCCCUCCGUUGCAGUACACUGGUCCAGGCGUCAGGACACUGCUCCUGCCCUCGUGGUUCACGUGCAUCAGGCCAGCAGACAAGCUAUGAUGUUGCCAACAGUGUUUGUUUGAACAUGGAGAUGUCAUUGUGAUUGUCAGGGACCCGACACCAUGCAUGCCGAUUUCAUAUUCUUAAUAUUUAUUUUUUUAAUGGUUGUUGAAACUAUAUAGUUACUCCAAUAUCACGUUUCCGAUUAUAAAAAUUAACAUAAAGAGAUCGGAAGGGAGAGCCCGCAUAAUGAAGCCGACGCGUAUAAUAAGCACUAGAGCCGGCAUUUAUACAAACGGGUACGCAUAGUAAAAACUAGAAUUUAUAAAUAAAUGAAGAUAUUCAAAUAUCUGGCUUACUUUUUUCAUUAAUUUUGCAUGAAUAAGGGAUGAUUCAUUAAUCAUUAUUGAACAAAUUGGCACACAUGCUUCGUGCCCGCGUUGUGAGCAUUAUGCGAUGCCACUGAGCUGCACCACCACGGUAGAGGGCCUGUUUGCGAUGCCACCGAGCUGCACCACCACGGCAGAGGGUCUGUUUGGGAAGGGGAAGUUAAAGUUUAACACCCCCCAUUUAACACCUUUUUAACAAAAUGGCUGCUAAACACUUGUGUUAAAAGAGUAGUGUUAAAAUUUAACACCUCUCUUUUCAUAAACACAUGGAGGGGGUGUUAAAAUUUGCUAAAUGUGUUAAAAGUGGUCCCCUCCCCACUUAUUCCUUGGUUGCCCCCCUCUCUCUCCUCCUCUCUCUCCUACCCGCCGCAUUUAAGAGCAUUAUUGAGGGGUAAUGCAGUCCUUUUCCAACAAAAGUGUUAAACUUUAACAACCCUUCCCAAACAUGCCACAAGCAACACCACCGGCUGACUGUGCUAGCGGGGAGCACCCUCACCGCCUGCCCGUGGGGACUUCUUCUGCCGGCCAUCGUGUCUUUGUAGGACCGCCGCGUGAGCCUAUGAGCCACCGGUGGCCGUGCGCCCAAGGGCCAUCACCAUGCCACCUGAGGAUGCUGUCUACCCGGUGCCGCGUGCCUCUGCUAGCUGCUUGCACCUGGGCCGCCGCUGGUCGCCUGCACAGCCACGCGUUACAGCCGCCCCCCUGCGCUGGGCCACCCCAUUUCGUGUUGGAAGAACUGCCACAGUCUCGCGCACUGGGGUUUUGCUAGUGACGACCAUAGCCUCCAAGAUCAAAUGAAAAAGUUGGUACUCAAAACAUACAUCCAUUAAUCUAGUCGUGCUAAUCCUUACCACCAAAUAAAAACUAGCAUGUGUUGUGUUUUUGUGACCCUAAACGAUCACAAAUGAAUAACUUAUGGGCGUUGCUAGCCUAUAAGUUAUGGGCGUUUGUGACCCUAGUCGCGCCGGGGUCUUGCUGGUGACAACCAUGGUCUUCGCGAUAAAGUAUUAAGUCUCAUCGAGUUCUACAAUUUUGAUAUAAAAUUUCUAUUCAUCCGAGAUCAAAUGAAAAACAAAUGAAAAAAUCCGAAGUAUUAGGCUUCAUCGAGCUCUACAAUUUUGAUAUAAAAUUUCUAUUCAUCCGAGAUCAAAUGAAAAAAUCCGAGAUCAAAUGAAAAGUUGGAACUCAAAACAUACAUCCAUUAAUCUUGAUAUAAAAUUUCUAUUCAUCCGACAUCAAAUGAAAAAGUUGGUACUCAAAAUAUACAUCCUUUAAUCUAGUCGUGCUAAUCCUUACCACCAAAUAAAAAAACUAGCAUGUGUUGUGUGUUUCUGACCGUAAACGAUCACAAAUGAAUAACUUAUGGGUGUUGCUAGCGUCCCGGACGCUAGCAUCGGACGCAUGAGCAGCCGUCCGAUCGGGUCCGACACCACUUCACGAUCUGUCUUAAAAAAAAGUCCCACCGAAACAUUGUUCCAUGUUGCAUGAAAUACCCCACUAUCCAUCGCCAGGUCUACAGCAAGCACCACCUUCCAAUCUGCUGCUCACCCAAGCUAAAUAGGGGCAUUAAAAUUGCAGAAAUAUGUCACAUAUCCUUGUCAAAUUAAACUAAAUCGCAACAUCCGAAAAUUUCUUACACAAAACCAUGAAACAUAUCGAUUAGAUAGGUGUAACAAGAUGGAAUAUGGUAUCCAACAUAUAGAUUCCGAAAAACAGAUGAAACAUUAUGUAACGAUUGUUGAAACAGUCGAGAAAUAUAGAUGUAACGAUUAAAAUUUAGAAAAGAAGCUUUAUGCAAAUUGCAAAAAGCUGAAAUAAGUGGUUGAAACAUUUCGAAUCACCAAAUGCCACAUUUGAAAUGGCUACAUGAAACAUCACGAAAUCAAUUGCAACAGUUGAAGAUGAAAACAUUCAAAUGCCUUGCCUUUCUCCAGAUUUGACCCUCCAAGCAUGAGUCCAGCCAUUUGCACAUUAGACCCUUGGGAGGAGCUCACCGGAGAACAACAAGACCGUGUUCUCCAACAAUUUUCUGAUCAAAUUGCAACAGACAAAACAAAGCAUUGCAACAUCUGGCAUCACGAGCUACAACAUCAACAAGUUAGGAUCAGGAGAAAGAGGGAAAACACAAGCCUAACAACCCCAAGACAAAACUGAUGUACUCAUCAUACAUCACGGCUUGCCGUGCACAGAGAUGAAGGCCGCCAAGCUCAAUCGAGACAGAGACGACGUGAUAGUGCUCCAGAUCGACGGUCCCCAUCAAUUGUUGCGUACACUGCCAAAAGCAAUGGAAGAAGAAGGGUCGUCCCUGCUCGACCUCCGUAGAUGAGCGCAGAUUGGGGGAAACCGUAUAGAGUGCCGCUGACAGCACAGGCGAGGGGGCUCAGGCUUGAUUCAGGGUGAGGGUAGCGGGUAGCAUGAGGAGACAGUCAGGUUUCAUAGGAGAGAGGCGGAGUAGAGAGCUCUGGUGACUCGGUGAGGAGGGUGCGGCACGGAGAAAGGUGUGUAGCUGAAGGAGCUACAUGGUUGGGGCGAGGCGAGCGUAGAGACUAGAGAGGGAAAAAAAGCAUGGGGAGGAGACGAUAUGUGGUUGAUGGUGCGGGCACGUGGUGAGCGCACCGUAUGAAAAUUUUGCUCGCGUCGGAUGACUGAUGUGAAGCAUUACCCAAUCUUAAUUAUCUCCCAUAAUCCAAAACUCACAAAAACAUCAAAAAUCCGCCGAGAAUAAAUUAAGUAAACCAUGCACACACAGAUAAUAAAAUUGCUAAUAAGGCCAGAGAUAAUACAUGAACAUAUUAGACUGUUCAUGACACAUAUCACGGUGGAUAGUGUCUGUGUCCUUAUUACAAGCAAUGAGAGAUGCUUGUCACCACACACACGCGCACAGAUGCAUGACAUACAUAUAGUUGAGACCAACAGAUGGAUCAACUAGAGGUCACCCCAUAUGGUGAACAAUUUAUUGGAGAUAAACAUUAACAUAACUUGGCCAUAGCUUGAAGCAUAGCAACAUAUGCCUAUGAAUGGCGUUCAUGCUAUCGUUUUAGGCUUGUCCAGCUUCUUUCAUCUUAGCAAGCACUUCCAUUUCUACCAUCUUAGCAGCAACUGUCAAAUUGAGAUAUGGAAAUCCCAUUAGCGCAUGAUUAAUUUUGCAGUGGAAAUAGAGUGCAAGAUAUCUUCAUGAUGUAAAUAACAUGCCUGAAGUUGUGAGAUGGGAAGUGAAGUCAACAAAUUACAUUAACGGAAAUGCAUGGAAGGCCACACAUACGUAUUAGUCCAUAAUACGCUACAAAGCUUGUAUGUACAUAUAGCAAAUUAAAUGCAUUAAUUGAAUAGAGUGAGUUUAGUGAAUUUACCAGAAUCGUCCAGAAAACAUGGGAAACAGCAAGUGUGCUUGCAGACUGUGUCGGAGCCACCCACACGAAUACAAAGCUGACAACAUGCUUGUGCCUCGUGGGAUACGCAGCAGCCGCACUGUGCCGCGGUGGCCGAGUUAACAUUGAGGCUCAAGAUGAACAGGCACAUGAUCACCAUCAAAGUGGUAGUCCUCUUUCCCUCCAUUGCCUCCUGUCGCUGCUACCUUCCUUGGUUACUAGUAAGUUUAUUGGUUUUGUGUUGAGAGGUGAUUCUUGCAUUGAAUGGACGUUGCCGCGGCUGCAAUUUAUAGGCAGCUGCGCUAUGUGAUGAUAUGGACAAGGUGCAAAUGGGUGGUCCUGAUAU